ACCAGGAUGGUUGAGUUGUUAAGGUGUUGGACUUAAGAUCCAAUGGCUUAAUGUCUGUGUGGGAUGGAACCCCACUCCUGGUA
rnacentral:tRNA from 1 species